rnacentral:rRNA from 1 species
AUUGAACGCUGGCGGCAGGCCUAACACAUGCAAGUCGAACGAGUGGCGGACGGGUGAGUAAUAGCUGGGAAACUGCCCGAUGGAGGGGGAUAACUACUGGAAACGGUAGCUAAUACCGCAUACCAUCGGAUGGGCCCAGAUGGAAUUAGCUAGUAGGUGGGGUAAUGGCUCACCUGGGCGACGAUCCCUAGCUGGUCUGAGAGGAUGACCAGGCACAAGGGUACUGCGACACGGUCCAGACUCCUACGGUGGGCAGCAGGGGGGAAUAUUGCACAAUGGGGCAAACCCUGAUGCAGCAACGCGGCGUGCGGGAUGACGGCCUUCUGGGUGUAAACCGCUUUCAGCCAUGACGCGGUAGUGGCAGAAGAAGCACCGGCUAACUACGUGCCAGCAGCCGCGGUAAUAC